UACAAAAAGGAGUAGACUGAGAU
rnacentral:piRNA from 1 species